rnacentral:lncRNA from 1 species
CCUCAUGUCUCAAAGGCUCAUUUGAUCUAAGUUCAGCUUCAACCUUCCUUCUCUUGUCAACGAGCUCGCUGAUAUAGUGAUAUAAGCUCCAUUCUUGUCAUUAAUCUUUGCAAUGAUCAUGUUCAGGUGAUGGACUUCCUCCUCUAUUUCUUGGUAACUCCAUUCGUUCCUCGGCUAGAGCAUGACGAUCAGCCAUAAGCCUGCGGAAUUCAACCUCGUGCAACUUAAUUUCUUCCUCUAGAAGAGCCGGGUGAGCGGGAGGUAGACUUGGUACUUGGCAAACGGUUCGAGUUAGAUUUACCAAACUUUCCUCUUACCUAGUGUUUCCACUCAAAUGGAAAAAACAGCAGUAAAGGAGUGCACAUCCGUCCUUGGUACCAGGCAAUAACUUUAUCUUCUCUACUAGAUUUAGCAUGUUUCACAACCUCGAUUCAAUGCAAAUAAAGGAACAAUAACAACCUGCAAUGAACUUUCAAAUAGUACAUGAGGUUAUUAUUGCUGAAACAUAAUCAUAAUAACAUUUGCACUGACAUGGAAGUUAUAGGAGCAGAUGCUGAAUUUGUGGUCCCUGAGAUGCUAGCUCUAGGUAUAUGCAUUAUAUUGCAGUAAAAACAGAGAGGGAAAUAGUGGAUCUGCAGCCAACUCUUACAGGCGCUAUGCUGUAUAAAUUACCCAAAGAAGACCAAACUUAACUGAGAGUCAAAUAUUAGAUAUUGUUCACUUAAACACUCAAAAAGAAUGAUUAAUGUACUGGAAUAAUAGAGUGAUUUGGACACAUCUAGCAGAACAUAUCUCUACCUAAUAUUUGGGGAGUGACCUGGACUUUCAACCUGAUUUGGAAGCGGCCAUUGGUGGGGGAAGAAGAAGGGGCGGCUUGCUCACAUGGAUUAGAAUUUAGGAGCCAAAUAAUUUCAGAUUUGGUGAGGACAUCGUAGACGAAUGAGUUGUCGCGAAGCCUGCUGUCCUUGU